UCACCGGGCUCGAAUCCCUGUC
rnacentral:miRNA from 1 species